GCCAUGCUGGAGAUGGCUAGAUGGCUAGAGUCCCUUCACUAGGCCUCUGUUAGACAGCAUCAUUGUGAUGUAUGGUCUAUCUCACAAUGUGGGGCAGACCCUCCUGAAUUCAGUAGGGAAAGUCAAAUAUCAGAGAGAAAUGAAGAGAAGCUGACUUCUACACCUCUAACCAAAAAGUGGAUAUCCUGCCCUAACCAUCAUAUAGGUACCCCACUCUACCCAUCAUCAGGAGAGUAUCCUGUUCGACAUCAGAGCUUGUGUUCCAAAAUUAAGGAAGAUUUGACAAAGAAGAAACGCUGCAGUGAUACUAAUGUGACUAGUGGAACAGAAGAUGUCCUCCUAAAGACAAACCGCUGGAGAUAAGUAGUUUUCCCUGCUUGCCCCUGAGCAGAUGAAUGCUUUCCUCUUUACAGCUAGAAUCUCAAUCAGAGGAGGGAGGCCCUGCCCAGGAAUUAGCAAGACUGAGACUAGAAAGCAAGGCAGAGGCUUCUGUGGUAUUUUCCCUAGUCAUUGAGCAUCUUAACUAGAAUGAUUAAGCUUAGCAAAGACACAUACAGGUGGUUUCCAAUGUGAUUUAAAUCUCAGACAAACCAUAGCAGAAGAAAACUUUCUAAAGAUAUCUAUACUCCAGGCAGGGAGAAGAAACAUGCACUAUUUUGAAAAUAGUGCAAAUGUAAAAAGACAAAAUGGCCAGCUGCAAAGAUACAGCAUCUGAUGAGAAGAAGAUAUAUCUAGCUACAAAAUUCAUCAAACAAGCACCUCCAGGUGAAUUUAAGGAAGUCUUCCAUGAUAUUCGGCAGUUGAUUAAUAAUGACAAUCUUCUCAGGAAAAGGAUAGGACAGGCAAUUGCUCAAUAUAACAUGCAUCAGUUCAUACCCGUGAAGAUAGAAGGGUAUGAAGAUCAUACUUUAGUUACAGAACAUGGUCAUCUGGGUAACAACAGAUUUUUUGAUCCAAGAAACAGAAUUUCUUUUAAGUUUGAUCACCUACGAAAAAUAGUCAGUGACCUCCAACUAGAGGUUACAGAUGGAAAUUUAUCAUAUUUGAGGGAUUGCUGUGAUAGGGCUUUAAAAGCCUAUGUGAAACAGAAUUAUUCUACUGGCUUUAGUACUGUUUAUGGUAAAAUUAUACAAGGGAAAAAGACCAUUAUUGCUUGUAUUGAAAGCCACAAGUUUCAGCCAAAAAAAUUCUGGAAUGGAUGCUGGAAAUCACAGUGGAAGUUAACCAUCACUCCACCCACAGCACAGGUAAUUGGAAUGCUCAAAGUUCACGUUCAUUAUUAUGAAAAUGGAAAUAUUCAGCUAGUUGUCCAUAAGAAUGUACAAGAAUCAUUAACAGUUAUCAGUGAAGAUCAAACAGUGAAGAUGUUUAUUAAGAUCAUUGAGAGGGUAGAAAAUGGGUAUCAGGCAGCUGUUAGUGAAAACUACCACACAAUGUCAUGUACAACAUUCAAAGCCUUGCGCAGACAGCUUCCAAUUACCUACCACAAAAUGGACUGGAACAAGAUACAUACGUAUAAGAUCUGCAAAGAACUCAAGUUGAAACAUGCUUAAUGGCCCACUGUAGCAGUCUCUAGGAUGUGUGGGCUUAGAAGAUCCAACAGGGUUUACUCAUAAAAUAAAUAUGAGAGUAACUUAUGGUAUAUUGCUGAACCUAUAA